rnacentral:rRNA from 1 species
AUGAGCAUGGACAGGGCAGUAAUUUCCGAUCUGUUGUCCGGAUAUGGCGGGAUACGUGUGUCCCCCAGUAUCCCCAGAUUUUUGAUUAAAAAGAAAGAAAAGAAUGCGGGGAUAUGGCGGGUAUGUGACACGGUUGGGAUACGGCCUGGCCCAAAAAAUAGCCUUGGCCCAAAACGGAACUCUAUAUUUUGCAUGAGUGGCACACCUCUCGACACAAAAACAAGGUGCUCCCGGGUCGCAUCCUCUCCUCGAUCGAAGCUGCCACCUCCUGGAUCGAAGCCACCACCGCCGGCGACCGCUACCUCAGCACCAACAGGCAGCAGCCUCUCCUCCCGAUGGUUUCUCAAAGAUACACAAAUUGAUGGAGGUUUGGAGGAUCUACAAGUUGCUGGAGUGAUAAUAUAUUAUGUAAUAUGCCUUUUUUCUUGA